CAAAGUAAAAGAGACAUAAACAUAAUCAUUUCCUUCCUUUUACUUUCCACUUCUGUGUAAACGGGAUAGUGCUUAGGGGGGCCAGUUUUUCUUUUCCUUUCUUUUUAAAAUCUUAUGCCUAAUUGGGUGAGGAAAUUAGUGGAGCAUUAGACUUUUUAAAAGACAACAAAAAGAAGCAAUGUCUGAUCAUCUUUUGAUACGGUGGUCUUCCAUGAUCAGUUUGUUGAUGAAGAUAUCGAAAGAUUCGACUCUCCGUUCUAGCUCAGGUUGGAAGAAAUUCAAAGGAAAGGAUAACCCUUAUCUAGAGCUCCUGUGAUUCUUGCUCCCGAGAGAAUUGGCUCCACUACGGGCAAAUCUACUACCAAAAACCCAAGUUUCAACCAAUCAAAACCUGUAAGUUAUUUGGUGUGAUUCCAAGGAGUGAUUCCUUUGAAUGAUAUCAGGCUCUACUUGUUUCCUAUUCCUUGCAAUUCUUGGAUUCUGCAAUAAAGUUAUCAGAAUUCUUUUCCUCUAUCAA